AGAACGAACGCUGGCGGCAGGCUUAACACAUGCAAGUCGAACGGUUGUAGCAAUACAGCAGUGGCAGACGGGUGAGUAACACGUGGGAACCUUCCUAGGGGUACGGAACAACUCAGGGAAACUUGAGCUAAUACCGUAUACGUCCGUGAGGAGAAAGAUUUAUCGCCCCUAGACGGGCCCGCGUAGGAUUAGGUAGUUGGUGAGGUAACGGCUCACCAAGCCUACGAUCCUUAGCUGAUCUGAGAGGAUGAUCAGCCACACUGGGACUGAGACACGGCCCAGACUCCUACGGGAGGCAGCAGUGGGGAAUCUUGGACAAUGGGCGCAAGCCUGAUCCAGCCAUGCCGCGUGAGUGAAGAGGCCUUCGGGUUGUAAAGUCUCUUUUACCCGGGAUGAUAAUGACAGUACGGGAGAAUAAGCUCCGGCUAACUCCGUGCCAGCAGCCGC
rnacentral:rRNA from 1 species